rnacentral:rRNA from 1 species
AUUGAACGCUGGCGGCAUGCCUUACACAUGCAAGUCGAACGGCAGCACGGGAGCAAUCCUGGUGGCGAGUGGCGAACGGGUGAGUAAUGUAUCGGAACGUGCCCAGUCGUGGGGGAUAACGUAGCGAAAGCUACGCUAAUACCGCAUACGAUCUGUGGAUGAAAGCGGGGGACCGGAAGGCCUCGCGCGACUGGAGCGACCGAUAUCAGAUUAGGUAGUUGGUGGGGUAAAGGCCUACCAAGCCGACGAUCUGUAGCUGGUCUGAGAGGACGACCAGCCACACUGGGACUGAGACACGGCCCAGACUCCUACGGGAGGCAGCAGUGGGGAAUUUUGGACAAUGGGCGCAAGCCUGAUCCAGCAAUGCCGCGUGCAGGAUGAAGGCCUUCGGGUUGUAAACUGCUUUUGUACGGAGCGAAAAGGCUCUCUCUAAUACAGGGGGCUCAUGACGGUACCGUAAGAAUAAGCACCGGCUAACUACGUGCCAGCAGCCGCCGUAAUAC